UGUGCGCUCGCAAAAGUGAUAACAAUUUUUUUCUCCUUUCUCCUCCCCCCUCACCCUUCCUUCGACAAAUCAUUGACGAAUUUUUACGCGUCACGAGGAAAGGAUCGUAAAAAGAAAAUACCAGAUCGACAUACCACGCGGGACGUACAACACACACGCACGUAACAACAAUGAGGACGUACUACGUGAUAGCCGCCAUUCUGAUCGCCGGCGCAACCGCCCAAGAAUCGUUCAAAUGCCCGGACGACUUCGGUUUCUAUCCCCAUCACAUAUCCUGCGACAAAUAUUGGAAAUGCGACAACAAUGUGGCGGAGUUGAAGACUUGCGGCAAUGGGCUCGCAUUCGACGCAAGCGAUAGCAAGUUCCUCACCGAGAAUUGCGAUUAUCUGCACAACGUGGAUUGCGGGGACAGGACGCAGCUCGAGCCGGCGAUCAGCACGCCACAUUGUCCGCGUCUAUACGGUAUCUUCCCGGAUGAAAAAAAAUGCGACGUGUUCUGGAAUUGCUGGAACGGAGAGGCAUCCAAGUAUCAGUGCAGUCCUGGACUCGCUUAUGACCGUGAGGCGAGAGUCUGUAUGUGGGCCGACCAAGUACCUGAAUGCAAAAACGAGGAAGUCGCAGGAGGUUUCACGUGUCCAGCCGCCGGCGAAGUGAGCGGGGCAUCCGGCAGCUUCAGCAGACACGCCCAUCCCGACGACUGCAGAAAGUAUUACAUAUGUCUGGAAGGUAUCGCGAGAGAGUACGGGUGCCCUAUCGGCACUGUGUUCAAAAUCGGUGAUGCCGAUGGCAGCGGUGCCUGCGAAGAUCCUGAGGACGUUCCUGGAUGUGAGGAUUACUAUGGUGACCUGGAUCUAAAGAGCAUCAGGAAGAGCGAGCUGCUUGCCGGAAUUCAGAAUUCAGGCGAGACCAGGAAGCCUCCUCAAGGCAAACCGAGGCCCCCAUCGGCACCUGCGAGGCCCAACGCAUCCCUUCAAGAAUAAUUUCUCUCAUCUUCCUUUCCUUCUUCCUCUUCCUCAUCACUUUCUUUCCCUCUUCUCUUCCCUCCUUCGUCCUCACUUCUUACUUUUGUCUGAAUCUCUUUCCUAUGCAUAUUUUUCUUUUGUGCAAGCACGCACACACACAUACACAUACGCAUAAGUGACAGAUACAUACACUUGUGAUACUCGGUCACGUUCUUCGUGCGUACACCCGAGCUUUUCUGAAACAAAUAUAAUCGAAUAAUUUGCUAUUAUUUACCAUUAUUUCGUACGUGGUUUGACUCGAAUACGAGAGGAAUAUCAUGAUAGUCUUGUGACCGAAGAGUUAUACGUCACAGAAUUCCCUCACUCGUGUCGAGGUUAUUUCGUCCAUGCGGCUCGAUGCGCCGCAACAUGCGGGAAGAAGUAACGUCCGUGGAAUUUUAAUCUUUCGAACUGUGCAUCGAUUCGAAUUAAUCGAUUUUAUAAAAAUCGAACAAAAUAAAAUUUGUAUACCUUCUGUCUAUAUACAUAGUGUUUAUAUGUGAACAAGUAAUCUCGAACACUCGUCAAAAUUAACAUCGAGUAUUGAAAUUCGAAUCGAUAAUCGAAAUUCGAUUCCCAAUCGUAUCGUCUCGUCGAUAACUUUUUUCAUCUCUCCUCCUUUCUCUUGUCAUUGUUUACUUUUAUCCAUUUUCCUUUAUUUUCCCCUUCCGUACGCAAUCUUGUUAGCUAUCGUAAGACGUACGGUUUUAAAACAAAGCUCGUUGAUCGGUAUCGUUUCUAGGUUAGAAUUACGUCCAUUGGAUAUUUAUACUUUUGAAAAAAAAAAAAGAGAAAUCUAAGGGAAUGAUUCGAUGGACGCGAAGACUACUAUGGAGACGUGGAUCUAAAGGCUUUACGAAAAUUGGGAUACAAAAAAAAGUGACGAAGAGGACAAAUACGCAAAGUUCAAUAAUUCUGAUCGACACUAGGGUCGGAAGAUUUUGAAAUUCGUCAAAAUCUAUUAAUUUCCUGCAUCUUCCAUCGAAAUAAAAAAAAAUUCAUGUAUUUCAUUUUAAAUCAUUCGCAAUAUCAUUCAUAUCUCUUGUCAUAUCACGUUAGAUAAUUGUAAUAUAGGUUAUGAUAUAUGUAAAUAAAUUACUAUUAUAAAACGAUAAAUAAAUAUUGUAUAUGU